CUUGUGGGGAAUGUGACCAUGUCUAGGGUACCUGUUGUUCACAUACCCUCUAACCCCAUGACCUUGUAAAUGGUUGGAGGGAAGUUAAUUUUUUGCCAUAGUUAUCAAAGAGUGUAAAUCCUUUUGGCUUUUUCCUAACACGUAUACGAUGACUUAGAAUGAAAAGAUGUAAAUUGUAAAGCAAUUGUGCUGAGAAAUCAUAAAGGCUAUGAAUAUUUU
rnacentral:misc_RNA from 1 species